rnacentral:lncRNA from 1 species
ACAUUUCUGCUCAAAGCUUGAGUACUAAUAAUGUAACUUAAAUCCGUAUUUUCUAUUCCUAUCAAACAAAAGGAGCACAUUCGAAACAAAAUACUCAGUGCUUGUAUAUUUUCCAGCAACGUAGCCACCCAGUUGUUCCUGUUCGCAUUCCUUUGCAGUUGAUUCAGCAGCUCCUUACUGGUUGUUUCAACAGUAAUCACGGUCCAUUCCUGUUGCAAGGCUUUAAUUAAUGCCACAGGGUUUUCAAUUAACAGUUAUUCAUUUGACGUUCAUACAAGGGGAAAAAAGAAAUCAUAGGUGUUAAGUUUAUAAAUAUGUGAAAUUAAUUUGAGAAAAUAUCUAAGGACGAAGAGAUAAUAAAGGUGUUUUUUUUUUGUGUUUGUAUAAAAUUUGAUUGUAACUUACUAUAGAAUUUGUAAAAAAAAAAAAAAAAAACUUUUGUGUAUUUAGGAUUUGGAAAAUUUAAAAACUUUCUAUUUUUUCUAUUUGGAAGUGUGUUUUUAAGGAAUUUAUAUUAGACAAAUUUUAUCUACACUAAUCAGAAAAACACCCCAAAAUCUUCAAAAUACACAAAAUAUUAAAAGCGUACACACUAUCUUUCUCUUCUAUCACUACCCUCCCGCCUCAUCCUGCUGCGGCCACCUUCCUACCGUUGUUGGUGCCGAUCAUCCAUUUUUUCUCCCCUUCUUCCUUCUUUUCUCGCCACCCUUCUCGCUGACCUUGCCCUCCGCCUCCUCUCGCAAACCUUAUCUCGUCCUACUCCCUUCCUCUUUCCUCUCUAUUCUAAACCUAAUGAUGUAUACUCGGGUGAGAGAGAAAGGGUGGCAGGGGGAAGGGGAAAGAGGAGAAGGGGAAGAGGAGAGGAAGAGGUAGAAAAAAGGGAAAGAGUGAGGAGAAGAGGGAGGAAGAAAGAAAAAAAAAAGGAAGGGUGAGGUGGCAGCAGCGACAAUAAUGGAGGUUGAUGAUGGUGGGUGGAGAUGGAGAUUGAUGAGAUAGAAGUAACAACGAUGAAAGUGAAACCAGUAAGGAAGUGU